GAGGGACAAAGGGCUAAAAGAACAAGCAUAACAGGCAUGUACCUCUGCAAGCCUAACUGAAAAUUCCUUUAUUCUUCCAGUGGCCAGAACUGGGUCAUAUGGUCUCCCCUAAGUGCAGAUUAUCCCAACCUGCACUCUGGAAAGGAUGUAGUAACUGGAGUUAGUCCCCUGCUCUUCAGGAAACUCAGUAAUCCUGACAUAUUUUCAUCCACUGGAAAAGUUAAACUUCAGCGACAACUGAGUCAGGAUGAUUGUAAGUUAUGGAGAGGAAACCUGGCCAGCUCUCUAUCGGGUAAGCAGCUGCUCCCUUUGUCCAGCAGUGUACAUAGCAGUGUGGGACAGGUGACUUGGCAGUCGUCAGGAGAAGCAUCAAACCUGGUUCGAAUGAGAAACCAGUCCCUUGGACAGUCUGCACCUUCUCUUACUGCUGGCCUGAAGGAGUUGAGCCUUCCAAGAAGAGGCAGCUUAAUCUCUACCCUUUGCCGAGGAGCUGAAGUAAACCAGCACAUGUUUUCACCCACAUCCGCUCCAGCCCUCUUCCUCACUAAAGUCCCAUUUAGUGCUGAUUGUGCUUUGGCUACUUCUCCUCUUGCCAUUUUCCUGAACCCACGAGCCCACAGCAGUCCUGGCACUCCUUG
rnacentral:sRNA from 1 species